AUUUAGCACAUCAAAUACACCUGCCAAAGCAGUGAGGGGGGAAAAAAGAGCUAGGAAAAAUGGAAAAGAGGCUUAAAAGCUGUUCUGUAUGAAAUCAGCCAGUGAAAGUUCCACAUUUGCCAGAUGUUCAGCUGAGUAAAACCCUCAGUAAAGAUUUUUGGAAGGUCACCUCCUGGAGAACCAGCUUUUCCCCUGCCAUCCAAAUCGAGGACAAGGAGCUGGACUUCAAAUGCAUCUCGAGGAUCCCCCCCAGCUCAGGAUAUUCUGUGAGUGAUGCACAGAGGAAUGGAAGAACUGACCAGCCAGGGAGGCAGUGCCAUUAGAAGCUGCUCUCAUUUAAUCCCUGCCAGUGAGAUUGACCAAAGACAGAAUCACAGGAUCACAGCAUCUUAGAAUGGUUUGAAUUGGAAACAACCUUAAAGAUGACCUGGUUCCAUCCCCCCUGCCAUGGCAGCUGGCAUUUAGUGGAGGAGUGUUAGCUCCAUCCCAGUACUCUGCCAGACACAGCUCUGACCAUCUGACUUAAAAGGACCUGGAAAACAGACUGGGAAUGCCCGGGAGAAAA